GGGGAUGUAGCUCAGCUGGUAGAGUGCUUGCCUUGCAUGCACAAGACUUUGGGUUCAAUCCCCAGCACCA
rnacentral:tRNA from 1 species